GGCAGGAGCUCGCCCCUCCUGCCGGUGUAAUCUGAAGCCGCUGUUGUAUCGGCAGCUCUACGUUUGAAGCGCGUUCAUCAUGUUCUGACGCAUUAAAGCAGCGCGCGAUUUUCUCCUCGUCUCCAAAUGUCACGGUACGAAUGGACAGCAAACGGCGGCACGCGCGUGGAUUUCCUGGAAGUACCGCAUUAUUAUUCGUGAUUGCGAAAGCUUCCUGGUUCCCGUAGUAGCGAUACACAGCUGUUUGACGCCGUCUGCCAAACGCGACUGUCAGGACGCAACUCUCAGAACGCGACUCUCAGAACGCGACUCUGAGGACGCGACGCGAGGGGUUUUAUAUUUCGCCUUUUUCUGGACGCAUUCGGAAGUCUUUUCCGCCGGAGCCGAUGUGUAUACGAGGGUGACCGCGCGUGGAUCUCAUCAUGUGGCCGCGGGGAUGGACCCAGGCGCGCUGUCAGGACAGCGGGGUGGACCAAGACCGCGAGCAGCUCUGGGCCGAACUCUUCCAGCAGCUGGACCUCAAUAAAGACGGCCGGGUGGAUGUCAACGAGCUGCGGAUCGGACUCGCAGCCCGCGGGCUAUCCUGGAGCUCGGUGGAGGAGCAGAUUGUACGAGCGGGAGACAUCAAUCACGACGGUCAGCUGGACUUCGAAGAGUUUACCGAGUACCUGCGCUCACAUGAGAAACGCCUUAGACUCAUGUUUCGCAGCCUGGACCGAAACAAUGAUGGUGAAGUGGAUGUCGGGGAGAUCCAGCAGUCCUUACACAAUCUCGGCGUGGACAUCACACUAGAACAGGCUGCUAAAAUACUGCAAAGUAUGGAUAAAGAUCAUUCCAUGACUAUUGACUGGAUCGAGUGGCGAGAUCACUUCCUGUUCAACCCUCUACACAACAUGGAGGAAAUCGCUCAGUUCUGGAAGCACUCAGUGAUGCUGGACAUCGGGGAGCACCUGACGGUUCCAGACGAGUUCUCAGAGAAGGAGAAGCGAUCCGGGUUCGUGUGGCGGCAGCUGAUGGCAGGAGCCGUGGCAGGAUCAGUGUCCCGGACAGGAACCGCACCGCUCGACAGACUCAAGGUCUUCCUGCAGGUUCACGGUCAGAGCUCAGAUAAGGGGAACGUGUGGAGUGGUCUGCGGGCGAUGGUGAAGGAGGGAGGACUCACUGCGCUCUGGAGAGGAAACGGCAUUAAUGUGCUUAAGAUCGCUCCGGAGACUGCCAUCAAAUUCCUGGCUUAUGAACAGAUUAAACGCUUGAUGAGAGGCAGUAAUGAAGGAGGAACACUGAAAGUUCAUGAGAGAUUUGUGGCUGGUUCAUUGGCUGGAGCUACAGCUCAGACUAUCAUAUACCCUAUGGAGGUGCUGAAGACUCGGUUAACUCUGCGUAAAACGGGCCAGUAUUCAAGCGUAGCAGACUGUGCCAAACAGAUCCUGCAGAAGGAGGGCGUUCGGGCCUUUUAUAAAGGCUACCUGCCAAACAUGCUGGGCAUCAUCCCGUACGCGGGCAUAGAUCUCGCCGUCUAUGAGACGCUAAAGAACGCAUGGCUGCAGAGGCACACUGAAGGCUCGGCGGACCCCGGGGUUCUGGUUUUGGUGGGCUGUGGGACGGUUUCCAGCACCUGUGGGCAGCUGGCGUCGUACCCGCUCGCACUCAUACGCACACGCAUGCAGGCGCAGGCGUCGAUUAAGGGGGCUCCUCAGUUGUCCAUGCUGACCCUGUUUAGAAGUAUCGUGGCCCAGGAGGGCGUUGUGGGACUCUACCGAGGCAUCGCUCCAAACUUCCUGAAGGUCAUUCCUGCCGUCAGCAUCUCCUACGUGGUCUACGAGCACAUGAGGAAAGUACUGGGAGUGGGAACCUGAGAGAGAAAGACUGCAUGAGUGUGUGUUUAUAAAGGGAAAAAAACAGACACUAUAGUUACAUCCUUUAUAUGUCAAGAGAAGAAAGGAAAGGUCAAAGACUUGCUUAUUUAAGCCUAAAAUACCUAAAAAAAAUCCCCUGCACUGGAGUUGUGAUGAUCAACUAUCUGUGAGGAACUGAUUGAAAAACACUGAAAUAUGCAGAAUCUACGAGGUGCUGAUCCAGGCCCGUUCAUCAUGUGUGUUUUUUAUGUGUGUUGUUGAUCAACAGGGCCCUGAUAUUCAGGUUUACAGGAUGAAGAAAUGUAUUGAUGAAUGCAAGGCCGAAGUUGCCACAGUAGUUCUUAAAUGUAUGUGAUUUUAAAAAAUGUUAUUUAUGAGUUUAGCAAGAUGCUAAUGUCCCAAAUAUACUUAAAGCUAAGUCCAAUAAUAAAUAACGUCAUUUCAGCGAAUAUCAGGCCAAAAUAAAGUUAGUUUAUUUCAGUUUGCUUUACUUCACUUAGUAAACACUCUCAAUCUACCAUUGGUCAAUUCUUAGUACAUAAUAGGUAGGUGUGGCUGUGUGGCUUCACCUACUUUGACUUGAAAACCUUCUCCGGUUAAAGAAAUAGUUCACCCUAAAAUGAAAAUUUCCUCUCUCGACUUUUCAUCAAGUGUUUUUUUCUUCUGGUGAACACAAAACAAGAUAUUCUGAAGAAAAAAGCAGCCAUCCAUCCUUCGACCCACAAACAUCAUAUCAUGUUUUCUUAACUGGUGUUUUCACGCUGCUGUAAUUUAGUUGAAAGUUUGUGUUUUAUAUAUAUAUAUAUAUAUGUUUUAGUUUAUAUAUAAGAAAAUGUGCUGCAUGUAUUUAUUAAAUCAUCUAGAUCUUACCAAUGCUCAGGUUUUUCAAACUAGUUUUUACCCCUAAAUGAAAAAGACGUUUGCCAUAUUGGGGGCUUUAGACAAAAAAUGUACAUAUAAUGUAUUAUAUGUAUCGAUACAUAAUUAAUGACCCAUUAAUAUUGUAGUCUUACGUCUUACUACAUACUUAGCAAAUACACAUUACGUACAUAUCUGAAUUGGGACGCAGCCUUGGAGUUGAUAUUUCUGUUACCAUCAGUGCAUGAGAUGCUGUAGCCUUCAUUUGGAGCAGAAAGCCUUAUGGACUCAUGGAUGAGAGAGAGAGAGAGAGAGAGAGAGAGAGUGUGUGUGUUUUUUGUGUAAUUUUUUUUCUUAUGAAAAGAAACAGAACUAAUAAAAAACUUUUUAGAGUAGAGGAUCACUGCUUAAGAGUUCAGCAGAUACACUCAGAUAGACUAGAAUGAGCUAUUCUACUAUGAAGAUUUCCACUGGGAAUCUGCAAACUUCUGGUGUUUUUAAAUCGAAGCCUCAAAAUUACAUUUCUGUUUCUUUUAGUUUGUCCAGUAGCACAUACAUACACUGCUGUACUUCUAAAAUAAACUUCUAGUUUAUUACGCUUUAGAAUUUCCCAGCCUUUUUCUGGGAAAACGGACCAAAAUAUUGAUGACAUCAGCCUGCACUUGUGGGUGUGUCCAAUUUUGUAUUCAAUCAAGUGUUGUCUUGAAUGAGAACAUCCGUCCCCUUAAUUAAGCUGUAAAAGAGUACUAGUACUUAACAAAGAACUUUCAGUUUAUCAAAAAGGUCAAAGUAUUUCAUCAUGUUUACACCUGUUCCACAAUAUCUGUGUGGAAACUGUGAAAAAAUCAUUUGCAGAUUUAAUCUGGGCCUCCUGAAUAAAAACGGUUUCCAACACGGACAUCUUGCAUUGACAUAAACAACAACAUGUUUGUUCAUUAUCUGUUUUUUUUUUUUUUUUUGCUGUUCUACUGUGUAUUUACCUUUGAAUGAAAACUAAAAUAUGUAACUGAAUGCAUGCAAGAGAAUGUGUACAUGAAAUUAAACAAAUUUUAAAUAAAACAAGCAAAGUAUU